CGCAGGGUGCGUCUCUCUUUUUCUCCACCCCCUCCACUACCCCGGGGCAGUCCUGUCUGUGGCGCUCUGCGUGUGCGCGUGUCUGUUCCUCCGUGCGUCUCUCUCCCCGCGCUCUCUCUAUCCACAUUCUCUUCGCCCCAUCGCACACGCUCGCUCACACACCGAUACCCACGCGCGCGGCAGAAGAGGCACACCGCCAUGCCCAGCGACACCCUUCAGAUCAAGCUGUCACAAGACAGCCUCUUCUUUCCAUUGCCCUUCACAAACGCCACCAUCGAUAAUGUCGUGCAGGUGAAGAACAUGCUGCCGGUCGUGCAAGGCGACCCGAAAGCGAACGUCAUCUCGUUCAAGAUCCUGAGCCGGGUGCAGAACAGGUACUCUGUUCACCCCCCUGUCGGCUUCAUUGGCGCUGGUGAGCACGCCACGAUCAUCUUCUCCUUCAAUCCCGAGCAUGUCAAGAUGGCCAAGAACCCGGAGGAGCGCGAGCUGCCGACAGAGGCUACAAAGGACGCUAUUCACGUCGACUUCGCUGUCGUUGACGCGCAGUCGGUGCAGACGGCGCUGGCGCAUUGGGUUCCUGGCAGCAAGGAGACGAAGGCGUCGCGGGAGGUCGUAGCCGACGCUUCGCGGUUUUGGAAGCAACGCGGGCAGGUGAAGAAAAACUCGCCGACCACGAUGCGCUACAAGCUCAGGUGCGUCUUCGCGACGCGCAACAACGUGCCCGACAGCCUUGUGAUGUGUAUGAAGGAAGAAGGCGGCUGCUGCAAGCCGAUUGCGGAUGGCGCCGCGCCGCUGCCGAGGACUCGGCCUCCCGUGACAUCGUCGACGCAGCCGCAGAACACAGCCCCUCCGGAGGCGCCGCCGCACCGCUACUCCGAGAGUCAACGCACCACGCCGACUACGCGGUCCCCGCGCAGCGAUGCCUGUUACACUCCGUGUGCAACAGGUCCCCCGCGCAUCUUUACAACGGGGCCGGGUGCGGCCGCGGCCGCGUCGGCGCCGUCCGCCUCUCCACCGUCUUCGGCACCAACACAGAAGUCGAGGACUUCCGCCGGGUCUACUUGUGGCGACAUCACACUGAAGAGCAUCGCCGAGCAAGUAAUGAACUACAAGCUCUCUUACAGGGCGGUGGGCGUGCUGCUGUUCCUCACGCUGCUAUGCGGCCUGCGGGACCAGUCCAACCUCCUGACGUGGCUGAUUGCGAAACAGUAGCAUUGCGCCCGCAUCCGCAGGUGAGUGCACAAACGCACCGCGUCUUUCAGCUGCGCUACCCAUGUGUGGACAUGGCGGCGAUUCGUGUCUUUGUGUGGCCUUCGCGCGCACUCGCUCUUCCUCUCUUCUCCCUCUUACGCUGUUAGCACUUCCUAUCCUUGGUGCGCUCUGGCGUUGUCUCCUUGUCGAACGCCCGGGGCCGACUCUUUUCCGUUCUUUUCAUCGCUUCUCGACGCCCCGACUUGUUGUUGUUUUCGUUGCCACGUGUUGCUCUGUCUUGCUCCGCCACCCCCUCCCCCUCUCCUCAUUGGGCCCCACGCAUCCCUCGUGCGCACCGGCGUCGUCGCUGCUGGCUGCUGUUGCUGCUGCUGCUGCAUUUGGGCACAAAUGUUGUGCUCGCAGAGGGGAUACUACCGCUCAAGCGAAGAGUCGGGAUUCGAGGAGGGAGUGGGAACGGGAGUGCGGAGACUGUCGAGUAGAGAAUAAGCGAUCGUGACGUCGGGGUGUGAGAGGUGUAAGCGUGAGGGUGGGGAGGGUGGGGGCCAUGCAACAAUGCCAGUGCAAGAGGGGUAUACCAAUAUCGUGUUGGAUUUUCCCUCUUGUUUUUCUUUUUUGUUUUGCUUCGGCGCCUCGUUCGCGUCGGCGUUUUGUGUUUCCGCGGACGUCGGUGCACAGCGGCAGGUGUGCUCCACUUAGUCAGUCUCUACAUCUGCUGUGUGCACUGUGCGACGAGGAAGCACACAUGACGACCUCCUCCUUCCCCCCUUCCCAAAGAAAAAAAGAAAAAGGGACAAGAAGAGGCCAUGUCACUGGGCGGUCGCAAGUGUGCGCUAGCGGCAAGCCGUAUGUCGUCUUCUCUUCAGUUGCCGAGCUAGUACAGACUCGUCUGCCCUCAGCGCAACCCACCCACCCCCCCCUCAGCUGGCUCUGGCUCGGCAAAGAUGGCACCAGAGGAGGAGGUAGAUGGGGUGUUUCGUUAGUGGUACCAUCUACCUAGAUGCACCUGACCCAUCGUGAUAACGGUGAUGGUGGUGCUUUUUCGGGCAGCAGUGCAAGGAGAGACUGACCGGACGUACUCGUGAGGCUAUACAGGCUACUUGUCCGUGCCCUUCUCCAUUUUUAUCAUUUACGCUCGCUUGGUGCGAUCCUCCCGUUCUUUGUUUGUUUUCCCCUGUUGUGCUUCUCUCUCCGCGGCCCGCCCCCGUCCCUCCUUCCCCUCCCUUCUUCGUCUUCUCACAGUCUUCCGCAUUUAAUUUUCGUGAGCGCCUAGUUUUCCUUCUUGCUCAUCUCCACCUCUUUGCUCUUCCUCUCCCCGUGCCUCUCUCCUCUCCCAUACGCAUACACACGCCUGCCUCGAUGCCAGCGCCUCGCGGCUGUCAGUUUGUAUGGCUUACUUUCUUCGUUGCACUCAUCAAAACUUCGAAGAAACACAAAAGGAGUCGCGGGAGACGCGCAGCGGAAGGAACACUGCUUCACCUUGCUCCUUCUCUGUUUUCCGCCACUGUGUCUUUCCUCAUUUCCCCGCGUCUGUGUUUCUUUUUUGCUCUCCCUGGUGAUGGGGGCACACACCUCCGUGCGUGGCGUCUCACGGUCCCGUACCUCCCCCUCCCCCACUCUGUGGCGAAAGUCAGGCAGCCCCCCACCCCUACCCCUGCCAGUGCCGAGCCGCUUCCGGUGGUGACAGGGUCAGGUGCCUACCCCACAGGGGAGGCCAGCGCGACUCCUGUCCGCAGCCAGGCCCUGGACGGCGUGCUGCUGGAGCGGCCGGCGACUGUGAAGGCGCUUGUGCCGUCCGCGCGAUGGGCCGAGCGUCAGCGCGGCUCGCGCGCACGCCACCCGGUGCUCGCUGCCUGCUGGCGGGGAGCCUUUAUGCGACCCCGAGGGGGUGCACCCGGUGGCGGCGGGCGGGGCGCGGGUGGUGUGCCGACGUUGAGGCGGAGGCCGCGCCCCGGCGACUGUGGCGGCGCAUUGCUGGGAGGCGUGUGUGUCCCGCUGCUUCGCGCCGCGCGAUGACGGUUCUGUGUGGCCGGGCCGGGGGCCAGAGUGGUGGUGGUGGGGGUGGCUGGGCUCAUGCUCCAUGGCGGCGAAUGACCGCGUUGAAGCAG
rnacentral:misc_RNA from 1 species